rnacentral:snRNA from 1 species
AUACUUACCUGGACGGGGUCGAUGGAUGAUCACCAAGAUCCAUGGCCUAGGGUAGUGACUUCCAUUGCACUUAGGAGGGGUGCUUCCCUAAGGUCUCCCUAAGUGGGAGAGCCUACGUCAUAAUUUGUGGCAGAGGGGACCUGCGUUCGCGCGGUCCCUA